CUUCCACGUAGGUAACGCCUGCGAUUUCCUCUACAUCGAUACCUUCUUGUGCAAAGCAGCUUCCCGUCCACCAUUUUGUCUAAUCCUACCACUAGGAUUACUCUUCCUCUUUUACGGAGAGACAAGGAGACGAAGACUCACUCAUUCAGUGGAAUUCAGCCCAAUUCAAUCAGAUCAGUGAAUUUGGGUACUGUACUAGCACCAAAGAAAACACGCUGAAUAAACUCACCCCUCUCCUCAAGUGGAUGGACAGACUACAGUAAGGGGGGCACUCGGCCCCUAGGAGCCCACACAGGCCCCCCAGCAAAGGGCCAAAGGAGAUUCGAACUCAGCACCCCCUGGUUCUAGCAGGACACCUGAUUCUCUUCUACAAUGAUCAAGAAAGGGGUUCUGGCCUUUUAACAGUAAGUGCAGGGUGCUGCCAGCCAGGCAGAGACAAACACCCCUUUGCCAGCUUGUUUGUGUUUUCAGAACUGGCUGGUUGAGAUGAAUUAUGGGCGCAGAUGACAUGUUUUCAGAAAAGAAGAGAACCACAAUCUUUCACCACAGGGUUCCACUUUCUGUGGUCCCGUUGCCAAUCCCCCACCCCCACCUCCCCACAUUCCCCGCAGCCUUGGAAUUGGCUGUCAAGCUGACAGACCCAUUUGAGUGCUGCAAAAGGCACAGAACGAACAAAAGACAUCAUUUAUGUCCGUGUUUGUGAUUUUUCUCCGUUUGAUCAGCAGCCUGUAAUUUUAAUAUAUCCAAGUGUGCUGGGAA